rnacentral:rRNA from 1 species
GACGAACGCUGGCGGCGUGCCUAAUACAUGCAAGUCGAGCGAACAGAAGGGAGCUUGCUCCCGGAUGUUAGCGGCGGACGGGUGAGUAACACGUGGGUAACCUGCCUGUAAGACUGGGAUAACUCCGGGAAACCGGAGCUAAUACCGGAUAGUUCCUUGAACCGCAUGGUUCAAGGAUGAAAGACGGUUUCGGCUGUCACUUACAGAUGGACCCGCGGCGCAUUAGCUAGUUGGUGGGGUAAUGGCUCACCAAGGCGACGAUGCGUAGCCGACCUGAGAGGGUGAUCGGCCACACUGGGACUGAGACACGGCCCAGACUCCUACGGGAGGCAGCAGUAGGGAAUCUUCCGCAAUGGACGAAAGUCUGACGGAGCAACGCCGCGUGAGUGAUGAAGGUUUUCGGAUCGUAAAGCUCUGUUGUUAGGGAAGAACAAGUGCGAGAGUAACUGCUCGCACCUUGACGGUACCUAACCAGAAAGCCACGGCUAACUACGUGCCAGCAGCCGCGGUAAUACGUAGGUGGCAAGCGUUGUCCGGAAUUAUUGGGCGUAAAGGGCUCGCAGGCGGUUUCUUAAGUCUGAUGUGAAAGCCCCCGGCUCA